AGAAAAAUAAGCUAAUUAAGCUAAUGGGUUCAUACCCCAUUUAUAGAGGUCUCUACUCCUCUUUUUUCUA
rnacentral:tRNA from 1 species